GAUGAACGCUGGCGGCGUGCCUAAUACAUGCAAGUCGAGCGAACGGACGAGAAGCUUGCUUCUCUGAUGUUAGCGGCGGACGGGUGAGUAACACGUGGAUAACCUACCUAUAAGACUGGGAUAACUUCGGGAAACCGGAGCUAAUACCGGAUAAUAUUUUGAACCGCAUGGUUCAAAGGUGAAAGACGGUCUUGCUGUCACUUAUAGAUGGAUCCGCGCUGCAUUAGCUAGUUGGUAAGGUAACGGCUUACCAAGGCAACGAUGCAUAGCCGACCUGUGAGGGUGAUCGGCCACACUGGAACUGAGACACGGUCCAGACUCCUACGGGAGGCAGCAGUAGGGAAUCUUCCGCAAUGGGCGAAAGCCUGACGGAGCAACGCCGAGUGAGUGAUGAAGGUCUUCGGAUCGUAAAACUCUGUUAUUAGGGAAGAACAUAUGUGUAAGUAACUGUGCACAUCUUGACGGUACCUAAUCAGAAAGCCACGGCUAACUACGUG
rnacentral:rRNA from 1 species